ACAGUCCUUUUUAAAAAAAUAUUUUAUGUAGAGACGGUGUUGCUAAAUUGCUUAGGGCCUCACUAAGUUGCUGAGGCUGGUUUUGAAUUCAUGAUCCUCCUGCCUCAGCCUCCCAAGUUGCAUUUAGGGAUUACGGGCAUGCGCCACCACCCCUGGCCAGUACCUCAUUCUUCAAGGACUUUUGUGCUGUGGUGCCGGGGCGGGGGAAUCCAGGGCCUUGCACAUGCUAGGCAAGCACUCCACCACUGAGCCACAAAGGCUUUUGUGAUUCAUGACGUCAUUUGCCAGUCUUAAAAUUUCGUGAAAUAGGAGUGUGCCAGUAGGCCUCACUUCCAUUGACCAUACGAGGAAAUGAGGCACGACGGGGCCAGAACGGGGGCCAGAACCGUAGUCUCUGGACUCUGACUCCUUUCCUGACUGAGGAAGGGCGAGGGACGGGAAGUCAGGCUGGGUUUCAGGUACCCUAAGGAAGGAGCGGGUGCUCUUACCCAGGGGAACCUACAGCUCCCCAGAGCAGGCAGGGACAUGAAGGAGCAGAAGCCAUCCCCUUAUGUUGCAAAGCCAACAGCCCAGGAAGUCCGGAGCUGCCCCAGGCCACAGGGUCAGUGAGUGACCUGGCCCUGCAGUGUGGGCUCCUCAGUCUGCGCAGUGUGGUCUAAGCCACCUGUGGGCCUUUGCUCUCCAGGGCCUGGGUGUGGAUGGAUCCAUCAGCAGAUGUCUGUGAGACCUCUGGGGAGUCACUUUGUUUUUAUUUAUGAGCAGCAAUGCUCAGCUCCCCGGCCAAAUGUGUGCAGGGAAGUAAGGACCAUGCUGUUGGGUCAGUGUUCUGUGGGGUUUAAAUGAGAUGAUGCACGCAACGUUCUCACUUGAACAGUGCCUGGCCCACAGUAAGUCCCCCUCCAAUAGUUUGAACCUUCAAACACUGUUUGUCUGUACAGCUAUGGCUAACUAUGCUCUCACCCCUCAAAGGAGGCCAUUCUUCAGGCCUCAGCAUGAAGCUCUUGAGCAGUCUGGAUCCUUCCACAGCCCGAGAAGAGCGCCUCUUUGGUUUAAUUGACCUUGAGCCACCCUCAAGUCCAUUCUCGGAGUCUGGAGCCAGGAGGACCCCAUCUGCUCUGCAGCCUGCCAGGGACCUGUCAUCAGCAGCUGACUCUAUUCCCUGGCUCGUGGCCCCAGGUCACUAGGGAUCUGAACACCAAGAGGGGCUAGUCGCUGCCCACUGACGGAUGACUGAGAACAGGUGGGUCCUGAAAGCCAGCCAGCGCCUAUUUGUGGUGAGGCAAAGCCAAUCCAAGCCAAGAUUCUGGAGACACUAAAGAGAACAUUCCUGCCUCCAUUUCUAUCUGCUGGGAAGGCUGGGCACAGGUAACAGGCAGAACAAGAUGAGGAAACUGAGGUACAGAAUGAUAAGGGAAAUUGCCUAGGAUCACAAGGGCACACCAGAAGGAAGGGAGGAGUAUUGGGGAAGAUCCGAGCAAGACUCACUGCUUGGGAGUACAUGGAUGGACCAUUGGAUGCAGAGGUCGGAGAUGCAGACAGGCUCUCAAGGGCCUGGGAUGCCCACUUACGGCCUUCCAUAUACAGGCUGCAGGAAAGGACCCGGGACAGGUGGAGAAGAAAACAGCAGUGGCUGCCCUCUACCUUUCCUACUGGAGAGGUCCAAGGUAGGGCCAGCAAUGGGACCUGAGGUUCCUCCAUUCCCAGGCCUAGGUGUCUACCCCUUAAAACACACACAUGCUGUCUGGGGGCUUACGGACACCCCUAGCAUCUUACCACAAGCCUUGCGCAGUCCAGGCGGUUGGUGUGGCUGCGGCAGCGACAGCAGCGGGAGUAUCCAGUCUCUAGCAAAUUGAGGGUCUCACCCUGGCGACUGAGGUGGGAGUAGCCAGACUGUGGCAGGUUCCAGGGGCCGUACACCACAUGUUGACGUUCAGGAAGACAGAUCUGGUUCAGAUUGUCUGGAGAAGGCCGCCCCGGGGGGAAGCCAUCCAGCCGGUAUCCCCAGCCCCCCCGGAACCGGCCCUGUUGGCAGUGCUGGGCUGGAUUCCAAGAGUGAGGCUCUGGGGGAUCCUGGCGCAUGGGGGGAGCUGGCUUUUCUAGAAUGGGGAACAGAGGGGGGAGAGAGAGGAUGGGAGGAACUGACAAAGGCUGAGUGAACUGAGAGAAUUGAAAGAACUGGGGGUUAAGGAGAAAGGGUUAGGAGGGUAAGGGAAAAUGAAGAAAUUAAUCUGUGGUUCUUACCUUCGGAUUGACUAACUGAAAGGAAAAGAGAAUUGAAGCAUGAAAAGUGUCACCCUCAGAGCUGUCCCUUCCUCCCACGUUUCUGCUCCCUGUGCUGUUUCCCUGCUCCUCUCCCUGGAGUCCUGAGUGGUCAUGCAGGGGUAUGGACAGACAGAUGCUGUCACUCACCCUCUCUCUGCUGGGAAUGGAAAAUCUCCUCCUGGUAUGGGAAAGGUGGGUCUACUGGGGUAGAAGGAGAUGUAUAAGCAAAUAUCACAUUGGAAUGGGCAUUUGUAGAAGAUAGGCACCUGGCUAGCCCCCAUUCAUAAAGAGGAAUGCAGUAGAGAAGUGAAAAUAAAUGCUAUUUUUGUGUCAUUUAAUCAUAACUAUCAAACAGGUAUUAUUUCCUCAGUUUUAUACAUGAAGAAACUAAAGCUUGGUAAUUGAGUCAUGCCAGGUUACAUAAAUGGGAAAUGGCAGCGCCUGUUUUGUGUGCCUUCAAGGCCCUUACUCUAGGGUAAGGCUAGGUGAAGGUGGUGUGUGCAGAGGGAGUUACUUACUUUCCUUCUGUUCAGUACGGGGGUGGGGAGGGGGCAACUCUUCUUGGAGGGGGAUGGCUUCUGGAGGAAGAGGCGGAUCCACUGCAAGACAGAGGAGAGGGAGGACUGCAGACCAAAGUCAGCAAGAUCUUAGUGGGAAGUAGGAAAGUGAGCAAGCACUCACCUUUCUUUCCAUUAGAGAGGUGAGGAGGGGGCAGCUCUUCUUGGACAGGUAUGGCUUCUGGAGAGGGAGGGGACUGUACUACAGAAGGAGGAGUGUGUGAGCAGCUCACCCCUGCUAGCCAGUGGGGAGAGGGGUGGAGCUGCUUCCCUCCUUCCCGGUUUGAGAGCCAGAGUAUCUCAGAUUAGAGACUUGAGGGGGUAACUGAGAAGGGCAUGUGGGGCCUUACCUUCCCUCUGUCCCUCAAAAGGAAGGUCAUACUGGGAAGGGUCAAGGUGAUACACGGGGAAGCCUCGGGCCUGUGGUGGGGAGGGAGGUGCUGCGUAGCCAGCUAGAGACAAGAGGAGAAACUCUGAGUCCCCCUGCUCCUCCUGGACUCUCAGUUCCAUAGUUGCUCUUCUAAACUUCUUUCCUUGCUUGCACAGUGUGGAUUGAGCACUCAACCCCCGAGUCAUACCCCUACCUCUUUUAAAAAAGGCAGGAUCCUGAUAAAUUGCAGAGGCUGGCCUUGAAUUUGUGAUUCUCCUGACUCAGGUUCCCUAGGGGCUGGGAUUACAGAAGAGGGCCACCACACCUGGUCCCCGAACUCUUACCUUCCUGAAUGUACUCUGAUCUCAGCUCCUUCUGCCCUGGAGCCUCGUGACCUGGAGAGAGGAAAUUGGCGGUGGUUUUAAGGGGCCCUUUCUGGCUCUGAGCAAGGAAUGGGGAGACUGUGGAAGUCAAGAGUGUAGGAAGAUGACAAGACGUGGCAAUGACCUCUAUAAUAUACUUGUCCCAUGUCCCCUCAUCACCCCCACAAACACCUGGAUAUUAUUGACAGGGUUCUGAGAAAGCCCGGAUAUUCUGCCUGGCUCAGAGACUGAGUCUGAAGGUUGGGAGGGAGGUUCUGAUUUCCCCUGUCAGUGUCUCUACCUCCGGGGUUGUGGCUGCCCUUCCUGUAGCUGCUCUGCUGUGGUGCCCCUCUGGCUUCAGAGGAAGAAGCUGAACCUGAGCUGGUUGAGCCCUCACCUGCCCACCUCCUCCACCAAUCUCCUAUGCCAGGCCCUUUAACCCUCUGUAGGCCUUCUGAGAAGGAACUCCAGCCAGGAGUGUAAGUGCCUCACUUUAGCUAGUCUCAGCUCCUCCUCAAUUUAGGUCUCAAAUUUAGGACCUGCAGGAUGGGACAGGCAUAGAGAAGGGAAUCUCUGGUGACUGAUGUGCAGGAAAAAAAGAAGUUAGGAACUGGGAGGGAUGAUAGCGAGUAGGGCUUUACACACUAGCUCUCUUGCCCCUCUCGGCAGUUUCCCUCCAGAGUUCCGUUUUGUUGAGGCAUCAAAGCAGAGUGUGUUUAUGCCCAGCAGUGGGUGAGACUGAGUGGACAACCCCUUAACCCUUCCUCUAACCAGACAGUGAGUCAGGCAAGGCUCUCUGGGUCAGCAAACCGGUUUUGAGCAGCCUGGGGGCCCCUUUCCCCGCUUCACCUGCCUCGGAGUCCCUCCACCACAUACCUCCUCCCCAGGCCGAGUUCCCUUCCCUCUGUGAAUCCACUUACCCGCUCAGUUGCCUACUUGAAUCCAAUUUUAUUUCUUAUCAGUAACCUCUAGGAACCCCUCUCUGUCUGCUCCCGCCUCCCUGGUUAAAAGGUCCAGUUGGCCAGGCCAACCUUGGGCCUGCUCAGAAGAGGCCAAGUCAUCCUGCUAGUGAUGAGCUGCCUAGCCAGAGUCCUUCCCCAGUGCUGACCCCACCCCUACUCACCUCCCUCAGAAGUGGCAGAGGCGACAGCCAAACAGGCCAAGACCAAGGCUACUCUGGCCAUGGUCCCCAUCCUGGAACAAGGACUGGUCACCGGCCACCUAAAAGCUGGGUUGUCUCAGGCAGACCUGGAUGUGAAGGAAGGGCUGUGCUGCAGGAAUCCUGCUGCUCCGGCUGUUGCUACUGCUAUUGUGAACUUCAGGGCCAGCUCUGGCUCCCUUUUAUAUGUUGCCUGUUGUUAUCUCCCGCCCCCUUCAGCUUCCUGCCAUGACUCAGUGCAGCUGCUCCUCCUUUAGCAGCCACUCCUCCCAAACUCAUCCUGAAGCCUCCUUGGAGGACUGAGAAGAAUGAAGGUGAUGGGAGGAAGUAUUCCUAGGACCUUAAGAGAGACCCGUUCAGAUCAUGGAGCAGCAGACAUCUGGGCCCUUAGUUCAUGCCUCACUUUUACGUCUGCAUGCUGCCUCCUGUGGAACAGGGACCUGACAACCUAUGGAACUGGGUCUAGGGAACCAGGGCACUAAGGAACUAACAUUGGGAACAGGAUAGCUGCCUAAGGUAGCUCCCUACCAGUGAGAGUUGUCCCCAACUCUGGGCAAGGGUAACAAAGUGGAACUCCCAUGGAUUGAACUCAGGGGCACCUGACCACUGAGCCACAUCCCCAGCCCUUUUUUGUUAUUUAUUUAGAGACAGGGUCUACUGAGUUGCUCAGCACACUACUUUUUGCUGAGGCUGGCUUUGAACUCAUUAUCCUCCUGCCUCAGCCUCCAGAGCCGCUGGGAUUACAGGCGUGCGCCUAGCAGCCCUUUUGAGAUAGUGAGACCCUAAGUUGUUGAGGCUGGGGCUUUGAACUUGUGAUUCUCCUGCUCAGCCUCCUGAGCUCCCAUUCCCAGCCAGUGUGGAACUCCCUUUUGUCCUUCUUUCAGGAGUCAGAGAUCAGACACAAAUAUAUAGCAGCUUCAAGUUUAUUUUUUCCAUUUCAUUCUUCGUCACAUCCAAACACCAUAUCUUCCCUCCCGCUGUGGGGUCCCCAAACCAAGUCUCUUUUUGCAUUGCUGGGAAUAGAACUCAGGACCUCAUGCUUGCUAGGCAAAUGCUUUGCCACUGAACUGCCUCCCCAGCCCCCAAGUCUUUUCAGGAGAGCAGAUACAUGCAAUUCUGAGGAUUCUGGGGGACUCCAGGCUGUUAGUAGGGCUCGGGUUUAUCAGGGAGGCUGACAACUCUUGCAGGUCUCUGUCUCAUGUAUGAACAAAGCUCAGAAGAUUUCCUCAGCAUUGGGGACCCUGGUAUUCUGUAGCUCCAGCAGCCGUUGCACAGCCUUGGUCAAGUCCCACUCCCCAAGUCGGCGAUUACUGCGAGUCCGUAUGUUCACUGUUCUCUUACUCUGCUCUUGCUGGCCAACCACUGCAGGAAGAGGAAGGGAGGUUUGGGAAUCUCAGGACAAAGUCACCGACAUGGGAUAUUUCCUUUUGCUUUGCAGAAACUUUGCGGACUUAAAUCUUUAGGAAGGGUGGAAGCAGAGUCUAGAUAUGGUUUAAAGAAUAUAUUUAGCUGUGCCUUCUCUCCAGUUCACUGCUCAUCCUGAGAAGAUAAGGAAUGCGGAGCCUGGAACAUUAUUAUCAUUUCUGGUCAGGAGCCCCAGGGUCAGAGAUACUAGAGUCAGCCAGAGAGAGCCAGACAGACCAAGAACUAGAUACAGAGAAAUGGUAGGUGGGACUGAGAAAUGUGGGGCAAGCAGUGGGGUGGGAGGCAGAGGUAGAGGAAGGGGAAGACAGCAGGACUGGGACACAUGCGCAAGUCCAUGGACUGUGGGGUGGCUUGCUCCAGGUGCUGGUAGGUGAGGGGCGUACGCCAAACUAGAGAAUCAGGUGGAGGAAUUUCUGUUCCUUAUCUUCAAGAGCUCUGAACUGUGGAGAGUGAAGAGAGCAAGGGAGUACUAGACUUUUCUCCUUAAAGCUUUCUCCUUAAUCCUUAGGGCUGACUCCAUUCACGUGCAGAAUAAACAAGGCUAAUUAAUUAAUGCCUCACUAACCUUCCGGUCCCCUUUCUCUUUGAUAUUUCCUUUGUUAAUUAACCCCAAAGAACCCCCCUAGGGUGGGGUUAAUAAGAGGAAAACUGUUCUGAGGGACAGAAGUGGUUGUGAGGAGGCACAGGGUAAAGGAACUUAAAGAAUGAGAGACCCAGCUCCGAGGUUCUGGGCUGCCUCUCUCUUACCAAAUUGGAAAUUGUAGUGGGCGAGCUGGGCCCGGCGCACUCUCCGGCUGAGAGUCACUCCAGAAUCAGCAUCCAGGUCGCUGACAAGGCCUGCAGCCUGCAGAUUUUGUUGAAUCUGGGACACAUGUUUGGUGACAAGAAAUAAAUUCAAUGGAAGACUGAGGAGCUAGGACAGUCAAACAUCCUUCUUCCUUGGUCUGCCCCACUUCCUAUCCCUCAUCCCCUGCCUCAGUGCUCCCCAUAAUAAAAAUUAUCUUUUUCCUCAUCUCAUUGCUAUACUGAAGCCUCCUCUCCAUCCCCAACCCACAACUUCUGUGUCGACUCCUACUGGAGAAAGCCCUCCAUUAUCCCCUGGACUUUGCCUGCUGCUUGCCCUCACCUCGGGUACCACCCAUAUUCUCAAUUCUCUUUAGAAAGGAAAAAUAAAACCAGCUUUACCCAA